rnacentral:rRNA from 1 species
GUUCAAGCGUCAAGUCUGAGAGCGAGUCAAAUGCUUGCUCUCAUAAGGACAAGGCGUGAUGAGGAGCGAAAUUAAAGUAGCGAAGGCUGCGACGUCACACUGCCGAGAAAAGCUUCUAGCCAGAGACGGUGCACCCGUACCGCAAACCGACACAGGUAGUCGAGGAGAGUAUCCUCAGGUGAGCGAGAGAACUCUCGUUAAGGAACUCGGCAAAAUGGCCCCGUAACUUCGGGAGAAGGGGCGCUGGUCGCAAGAUCAGCCGCAGUGAAAAGGCCCAAGCAACUGUUUAUCAAAAACACAGGCAUCUGCAAAAUCGUAAGAUGAAGUAUAGGUGCUGACACCUGCCCGGUGCUGGAAGGUUAAGAGGAGAGCUUAGCGCAAGCGAAGGUUUGAAUUGAAGCCCCAGUAAACGGCGGCCGUAACUAUAACGGUCCUAAGGUAGCGAAAUUCCUUGUCGGGUAAGUUCCGACCUGCACGAAAGGUGUAAUGAUUUGGGCACUGUCUCAACGAGAGACUCGGUGAAAUUAUAAUACCCGUGAAGAUGCGGGUUACCCGCGACAGGACGGAAAGACCCCAUGGAGCUUUACUGCAGUUUAAUAUUGGGUAUCUGUCAAGCAUGUACAGGAUAGGUAGGAGCCGGAGAAGAUAGGACGCCAGUCUUAUCUGAGGCGCUGUUGGGAUACUACCCUUGCUUGACGGAUGCUCUAACUCAGGCCUGUGAUCCAGGCCGAGGACAGUGUUUGACGGGCAGUUUGACUGGGGCGGUCGCCUCCUAAAGUGUAACGGAGGCGCCCAAAGGUUCCCUCAGAAUGGUUGGAAAUCAUUCGCAGAGUGUAAAGGUAAAAGGGAGCUUGACUGCGAGAGAGACAACUCGAGCAGGUACGAAAGUAGGGCUUAGUGAUCUGGUGG